rnacentral:tRNA from 1 species
GCCCGGAUGGUGGAAUUGGCAGACACGCUAGUUUCAGGUACUAGUGCCGAGAGGUAUGGGGGUUCAAGUCCCCCUCCGGGCA